rnacentral:rRNA from 1 species
UACGGGGGGGGCAAGCGUUGUUCGGAAUUACUGGGCGUAAAGGGCUCGUAGGCGGCCAACUAAGUCGGAUGUGAAAUCCCCAGGCUCAACUUGGGAACUGCAUCCGAUACUGGAUGGCUUGAAUUCGGGAGAGGGAUGCAGAAUUCCAGGUGUAGCGGUGAAAUGCGUAGAUAUCGGGAGGAACACCAGUGGCGAAGGCGACUACCUGGCCUGUUCUUGACGCUGAGGCGCGACAGCGUGGGGAGCAAACAGG